rnacentral:misc_RNA from 1 species
UUCUUUCCAUCCUCACAUACUUAACACCUCCCUUUCCUCUCUGGCCUCCCCAAACUGUUCCUCUCUCCCAUUGCCCACUCCUGCAUAUCAUAUAUCACCUCUGGCUUCAUUCAUGAGCUUUUAACCGGAACUUGACAAGCCAAAGCAUCAGGUACAUUCAUGGCGUUCUGCGUUUUAUUUUCGGAAAAAAAAUAAUUAGAUUACUUAAUUAUGUGUUUGAAUGCAGAUAUCAGCCUUAUAUCAAGAAUGGCUACCGAGAACAAAGUGAGCUUGAAGCUAUUGAUCGACAAGAAGGCGAACAAAGUCCUUUUCGCAGAAGCUGGAAAAGAUUUUGUAGAUUUCCUCUUCAUCCUUCUCUCUUUGCCUGUAGGUACUGUGAUUAGGCUGCUUAAAAAACCAGCAAUGGUUGGCUGUAUAGGAAAUCUUUACGAGAGCCUUGAAAACCUUAACGAAGCUUAUAUACAGCCAAAUCAAAGCAAGGACUCUCUUCUAAAACCCAAUGUGCCAUUAACCCAGCUCGCACAUGUGCCUCUCUUGCUGCCUGACACUCGUCCUCUAAAACCUGAGGCAGGACGAAAGUUGUAUGGUUGUUCUAAUAAUAGUAACCACCGGUGCGUUACCGAUCAGAGAGGUUCUCGUUGCAGUAACUGCGGUUCUUCAAUGACUUAUGAACUGCCGUUUAUUGGCACCAAUACAAAUAAUACAUCAGCUAGUGAUACAGCAACUAGUAAUAGUGAGGGAGGUUUGGUGAAGGGCCUGGUUACAUACAUGGUGACUGAUGAUUUGUCAGUGUCACCAUUGUCAAUGGUCUCUGGUGUUGCUCUGCUGAACAAGUUUAGUGUUAAGGGUUUUAGCGCACUUAAUGAGAAGAUGGUUGAGUUUGGCAUUGAUGAGGUAUGUUUAACUUCAACUCAUUACCUUUAGGAAUUUUUUAUUUUUUAUUUUUUUGUAGUCGAUAAGGAAAAUUAUGCUUUUAAUCGUUGAAUCAAGCUAAGCUAAAUGGCAAUAUAGCAUACAAUUAAUAUUGGUUUUAGCCCUUAAUUUUUUAUCUUAGCAGGGUCUGGAAUUGUUGAAGGCUUCUCUCCAGUCAAAAGCAGCUCUUACUAGUGUCUUCCUAGCUAAGGAUGAGAUCAAGGAUGCUGCAUCACCAAAUUGAAACUAUGUUGGAAUAUGAUCUUUCCUUGUUUUGAGGGAGUUGAUAAUUAGUUAUUUACCGUUGUCGAUUGCCCUGCCGUACUUUAUAUAUAAUUAAGAGUAAAUUGAUCUUGUUUUUGCACCAUCUUGGUUGGUAGUUGUUGAAGUUUCAAUUAACAUUUUCAUGAAUCUUACAACUGCUAAUUAAAUAUUUUCUUUUUGCUAUUUCCAUGUGCACUGAGAUUAAAUUCCUUGUUUGAGCACUAAGAAAUGGUUGAAUCAGUGGUGUGGAAUUGAACCUCAGGCGGAUUUUACCUAGAUCAGGGGGUUCGAAUCCUGGAAUUGUCAUUGUUGGGAAGGUUUUACCAAAAUACUACCCAGGCUCGACACUUUUUAGUGAUUAAUUAAACACCCUUAUAAGUAAAUGGCCAAAGCCAGCUGCAAUCAAGUGAAAGAGAAUUACAUUAACUCUGUUUUACUCUGUCUUGAAAUUUCUAUUUGUUCCAUGUAUGUACAGUUGAACACUUCACAUUAUAUAUAUAACAUUGCAAUCCCACCUCCACUUGAUCAUCCAUUAGAAUUUGGAUGGCAACUAAAAUUAUGUGCACUGUGAUCCAAUUCUUGUAUUUUAGGAAUUGCUUAUUCAAAAAAUUGAUCCAGGAAGCCAUUCAGCAAAUGAUCUGAGAGGGGAGAGGAAAGGAAAUAGAAAGGAUAGAGGGGAGGUUGAG